AGAUAAGAAUAUGGAAUGCUCACUCCACAACAUUGUUUGUGAAAAUCUUCAGAUUUAUUUUAUUGAACAAGGCUAUAAAAGUAUUUACAGAGGAGAGGGAAAGAGAGCACAGUGGAGAGAUGCCUUGGGAGAGAGCUGUUACUGGCCAUGGUGUCAUUCUUCUUCCACAGGUAGGAGAAGCAGAUCCAAACUGAGAAGGGAGAAGAUGUGAUAGUUGAUAUCACAACAAGCUUGAGUUUUGAUUAAUAUCUUGGACAGGACAUUCUAUGUUCCAAAUAGAGAUUGUGUGUUACAAAGUGACUGCAGGACCAAAAAUGAGUAGCAAAUUCAUGAACCUCUUAGAUUUUUUUAAUUUAGGACAUGAUGAGAUUACUGCCAGUGACUCAACUUUUAAAAUACAAGGAAUAACUAAAUAAAUAAAGUAAAAUUGCACUUUUAAUUGUAUUUUGAAGACAUCAUGAGCUGUGAUUCAUUCACUUCAUCUCAUAGAACUUCU
rnacentral:lncRNA from 10 species